UGCCGAAGGUGUAGCACCCAUUUAUCAAGCUUUUUCACCUUUCCAAUUUGUGUCAGAUGACGAACAAUUGUCGACUGAUCAACGUUGAGUUCUUCGGCAACUUCUCGUGUAGUUUUGCAUGUAUCUGCCUCGAUUAUUGCCUUUAAUUGGUUGUUGUCAACCACGGACGGAUGUCCACGGCCCUCUUCAUCUCCAAUGGUGGUAUCGCCGUUGAGAAAUUUUUCAAACCACCUGCGGGUGGUGCGUUCAUAAGUAGUACCCUUGCCCCAUGUGCUGAUGACAUUUCGAGUUGUUUCCGCAGCGUUGUGGCCGAGUUUGAACUCAUGAAGAAAAAUUAUGCGGAUUUCCUGUUUUGAAAGCAUUUUUAAUAUAGCCUGAAAUCACAUAAAAUUAUUGUUGUAAAUAUUGAUGAGGCUGAAGUGGGGAUGUAAAGCUCAUUUUAUUGAGAGGCUGCAGUACAUUGUCCUGGUGGGCUAUGGUCACCAGGGCCCGUUCCAGGGCAGGGUUUGUGGUCCGGUCCCGGAGGGUUGUUGCGGUCCGAUUCUCAUCGGUGUAGCCGUUGGGAGGGUUAUAUCUGUGACAGGACAUCUUUCGUUCGCCGGGCAAGGAAAAAAAGAAAAAAAAAAGUAAUAAAUAGCACGAAGGUCAAACGAUAACUGGCACGUUGUGUUAUUAAAGCAUUCCGCGAAAACGGUGGUCCGUGGUCAAAUACAACUUGUACCUGUUAUCUCUGUGGUGCUGUUUCUCUGAUAAAUGAAUAAAUAAAUAAUAAUAAAAAAAAAACAAACAAAUUUUAAAUUAAUUUUGCAACGUCACGUGUAUUUCCGGUCGGUUGCUUGUUGACACACAACACCACCCCCCCUCUUAUCUUAGACUCGGUCCCUCGAGUCGCCGUUAUCUCUCUAAAAAUUCCUUAAGUCUCGACACGUGUGCUAACGUGCUCUGGCACCUACUAUUUUCGUUGCGUCCGUCCUGUGGUCGUAACCUAUAUGUCGUUUCCUUGAUUCUAUCCGUUAUUACGUACGGUCCUACGUAUUUCGGCAGAAAUUUCUCCGUUUUCCCUGGUUUCCUGCGAGACGACUCCAGUAGUACCAGGUCGCCCACUUCAAACUUCCGGAAGCGUUCACGGUUCGCAAGGUCAUACUGACACUUCGUCAUCAUUGUCCGGUCUCGGUAGUUUUCGUCGGCAAUUUUCUUUAAUCUCUCGUUUUCUAAAAUGCGGUUGGUCACGUAUUCGUCGUAAGUUUUUACAGGCUCGUCGACGGUUGGUAGUCCUACGUCUAGGGACGUCCUCGGUUCUACGCCAAAUAUCAACUUAUGCGGUGUCACCUGUGUCGACGACUGAAUGGACGAGUUAUACGCAAAAGUCGCCGUUUUUACGAAUCUCGGCCAUUCGGCGUGAUCGUCCUCGAGAUAAACUCUGAUGCCGUUUUUUUAUGACGCCAUUGAGUUUUUCGCAUAAGCCAUUUGUUUGCGGGUGUGCCACGGAAGCCAUAAUAUGUUUAAUACCGUACAACCGUGUAAAGUCUCUAAAAGUACUCGAAUCGAAAGAUUUGCCUUGAUCGAAUAUUAUGCAUUUCGGAGUACCAAAAACGUAGAGCAGAUUGUCUAAGAGUGCGUUGCAUGUGGUUUCCGCCUUUGUGUCUUUUACCGGGGUUGCGAGUGCGUAUUUGCUAAAAUGGUCUACGAUCGUUAGGAUGUGUUCGUAGCCCUCUACCGAUUUUUUGAAAGGACCUUGGUGGUCUAUUCCCACUCGUUCCCAGAUGUCUGUUGCCGGUGGUAACGGUUCUAGCGGGGCUGCGGGUUUGAACCUCUGUGGUUUGAAGGCCUGGCACACUUUGCACGACCGAACGUAUUUCCGCACGUCUUCUUCCAGACCUUUCCAGUAGAAACGUUGCUUAAUACGGUGGACCGUCUUCGCUACCCCCAUGUGUCCUGCCUCGGGUAUAUCGUGCGCUGUUUUCAUUAUUUCGGAUACGCUUUGCUUUGGUGCUACGACCAACCAUUGGUUACCUUGUGUUGCAUGGUUCUUUUUAUAAAGGAUCCCGUUUAUUUUUUUAUAUUCGUCCCGUGUUUUAGCAUCUGGUAGUUUCCCGGUAAUAUCGCGGCAAAACGUGUCUUCCUUUUGUCCGUUUUCGUCGAUCCGUACUGUGCAUGCCAUUAAAUCGUUGAAGUUGUCUUCGACGUUCGUAUCGUUUUUGUGGAACGGGUUGCGUGAGAGUGCGUCCGGUGCAACGUUCUUCCUCCCUGCGCUGUGGACUAUUUCAAAGUCGUGCUCCAUGAGUUUUAACCCCCAUCUAGUAAGUCUUGAGCACGGGUCACGUACGUUAGCUAGCCACGUUAACGCGCUAUGGUCGGUUACGACUUUGAAUUCUCUCCCGAAGAUGUACGGCCGUAACUUUUGUAGAGCCCAGACUAUUGCUAAACACUCUAGUUCUGAGAUACCAUAUUUACUCUCGUGUUUCGAUGUUGUUCUCGACAAGUAGUGGAUCGGGUGCAAAAACCCGUCAUUGUCCAGUUGCAUUAGCACCGCGCCUAAUCCCACGAUUGAUGCGUCCGUGUGUAUUUCUAUUCUAGCGUCUGGGUUGAAGUGUGCUAGAAUUGGCUCCUCAGUCAAUUUUUUUUUUAAGGUUUCGAAAGCUUCUAUUUCGGCCGGACCUAUCACGAAUCUCUUAUCUUUUUCCGUUAAACACGUCAGCGGUUUGCUUAUCUUUGAAAAGUUUUUUAUGAAACGGCGAUAAUAGCCGCAAAGUCCCAGAAACGAACGAACCUGCUUGACAUUUUUCGGAAUCGGAAAUUCCAUAACCGCCUCGAUCUUAUCAGUAGCCGGUUCUACGCCGUUUUCCGAUACCACGUGUCCCAAAAUUGGUAACUUUUGGUAGGCGAAUCUACAUUUUGAUGGCUUAAGGGAUAAGCCUGCCCCGCGGAAACAUUCUAGAACAUUUGUUAACUGCUCGUUGUGUUCACGUAUGUCUCUUCCGUACACGAUGACGUCAUCUAGAUAAACCAUACACUCGGACCAUUUCAAUUCAGCUAACAGUGUAUCCAUGAUUCUUUCGAAAUGACCAGGUGCCCCGGUUAAACCAAAGGGUAACACUUGAAACUCGUACAACCCAUUACCCGUCGUGAACGCUGUAAUUGGUUUGCUUGUUUCGUCCAGUGGGCACUGCCAAUAACCGCUAACAAAAUCCGUGUGAGAGAAACACUUCAUUCCCGCUAAACGGUCCAGGCAGUCGGUGAUAUCCGGUAAUGGAUAUGAAAAUUUUUCGGUUACGUUGUUAACUUUUCUAUAGUCCACACAAAACCUAUAGGAUCCGUCUGAUUUUUUAACCAAAACGACCGGGCUCGCCCAUGGAGAUGUUGAUUUCCUAAUAACUCCUUUUUCACACAUUUCUUUAACCUGUUCCUCUAUAACAGGGGUCUCCAAACUUUCCAGCCUUAGGGCCAUACUGAUUACUCCAGUAAGUUCCGAGGGCCAAGAUGGCAACACUGCAUAUUAUUAAUUUUCCUGUAUUAAUUGUUAUGUUUAUUUGUUAUUAAAUGUUAUUAUUAAUUGUUGCUUUUGUGUGUGAUUUAGCAGAAUGGAAAAGAAGCGAAAAAUUGAUAGUGAAUGCAGAAAAUUCAAAGAUCAGUGGAACAUUCAGUAUUUCGUAAUUGAGUCCAGUAACAAGGCGCUAUGUUUGAUUUGCAAUGAAAGCAUAGCCGUUCUCAAAGAAUAUAACAUGAAACGUCAUUAUGAAACAAAACAUUCUCAAAAUUACUCAAAAUAUACAGGAAUUGUGCGGACAGAAAAAUUCGAAGCUUUGAAGUGCGGAUUGAAAUCGCAGCAAUCUUUAUUUACAAAAGUCAAAACUGAACAAGAGGCGCCAACUCGUGCCAGCUUUCGUGUGGCUCUUGAAAUUGCAAAACGUGGAAAACCAUUCACCGAUGGAGAAAUGAUCAAGGAAUGCAUAAUUGCAGUAGUCUAAGAAAUGUGCCCUGAAAAGGUAAAUUUAUUAAAAACUGUCAGUAUGUCAGCAAACACUGUGGCUCGAAGGGUAGAAAACAUCGCUGAAAAUAUAUCCUCUCAACUGUUCGACAAAAAUGGACAUGUUGAGUGGUUUUCUUUGGCCUUGGAUGAGUCAACGGAUGUGUCAGAUACUGCUCAGGUGUUGAUUUAUAUUAGAGGAGUAGAUAAAAGCUAUGAAGUGCACGAAGAACUUCUUGAUAUGUAUAGUAUUCAUGGCACAACUACUGGUACCGAUAUUUUUAAAGGAGUUGAAAUGGCCAUUAAUAAAAAGAACCUUCGAUGGAAAAACUUGAAAUGUAUUACAACUGAUGGAGGCAAAAACAUGAGUGGGAAAGAUAAAGGAGUGGUCGCUCUUGUGUCAAAGGCUGUAGAAAAUGACGGCGGCUCAAAACCAUUAGUCUUACAUUGUAUCAUUCAUCAACAGUCUUUGUACGGAAAAUGUUUGGAUAUGUCUGACGUUCUGAAACCAGUCAUAUCAACUGUUAAUUUCAUCAGAUCUUUUGGGCUGAAUCACCGACAAUUCCGACAAUUUAUUGCAGAGAUUGGAGAAACAGACUUACCUUAUCAUACUGCCGUACGCUGGCUUAGUUGUGGGAAAGUCCUUCAGCGCUUUUUUGAACUUCGAGCAGUGAUCGAAAUUUUUUUGAAUGAAAAGCACCGCCCUCUUACUGAAUUACAAAACAACGCAUGGCUAUGGAAGUUAGCAUUCUAUGUUGAUUUGACAAAACAUGUGAACGAACUGAAUUUGAGAUUGCAAGGAGAAAACCAGCAUCUUCCUGAUUUAUACACUAAUAUCAAGUCAUUCCGGAUGAAAUUGAUACAGUUUCAAUCACAACUACGAAGUAAAUGUUUUUCACAUUUUAAAACAUGUGAAAUAUAUAGCCACACUACUGAGACUGAGUUUCCUAUCGAUUUUGCAAUCGAAACUUUGAGUGCUUUGAAGAUAAAUUUUGAUACUCGUUUCUCGGACUUUGAUGCCAUUGCGAAUCAAAUUAAGAUUUUUCAGAAUCCUUUUGAUGCUGACAUUGAAACCCUAGCCCCGGAACUUCAAAUGGAAAUGAUUGAUCUUCAGUGCAGUGAUAUAAUUAAGAACAAAUAUGAAAACUCAUCUUUGUUGGAAUUUUAUAAGAGUCUUCCACUGACACAAUUUGAUAAUUUGCAUAAAUUUGCUCGUGGGCUGUUUUCCGUUUUUGGUACUACUUAUUUGUGUGAGAAAACCUUCUCCAAAAUGAAGUACACAAAAAAUGUAUACAGAUCUAAAUUAACUGACGAGCAUCUUAAAUCUCUUUUAAUAAUUGGUACAAGUAAAAUUAGUCCACAACUACAAACUAUUGUCGGUGGAAAAUCUCAAUUACAUACAUCUCAUUAGCAUUUCAUAUGUCAUGUUAUAAGGUAUGUGUUGUUCAUUACUUACAAUGUAUAAAAUGUAAGUUGGAUUCAUUUCAAUAAUUUGUUAGUUAUUAUAUGCUGAAGUUAAAUUUACUGCAUAAAUUAUACAUGUCUUUACUCAUUACCAUUCUGUGUUUCUUUAUCCAACUUAUCACAAACAUUUUAUUUGCUAUAAAAAAUAUUUGUUCUCUAAAAGGAGUUUUCAAGUAUGUCUCCGCGGGCCGGACAAAAUCUGUCUGCGGGCCGGAUGUGGCCCUCGGGCCGUAGUUUGGAGACCCCUGCUCUAUAAUGUCACGUUCCUUAGGACUGCGGCGAUAGGCUUUUUGUCGAAUUGGUUCCGUGUUUGAUUUAAGUUUAAUGUGGUACGGUUCGAUAUCUGCCGCCUUAUUCCACUCUUCUGAGAAAAGUUCCCGAUACCUGUACAAUACGUCCAGUACGUCGAUUUUUUCGCCGUCCGACAGCUCCGGGUUUAUAUCGAACUUAUGUGGUUCGUAUUUGCACGUGGCCGUCAUACUGUAUCCCCCUGUUCACUUAGGAAAGAAACAUUCGCUAUUUCCCCGCCGGAUCGUAACACGCACGAGUUUGCUACCAACCGCACCGGCUCGUUCCUAGUAUUAAUGACAUCAAUGAAUAUCUCGGAUACCGUUUCGGAAACGUGUACUGAUGGUAUUAGUAGCCCCGUUCUUCUUACGCAGUCGGGGUGGGGUUCUAAAAUGCCCGCCCUUACUGUUGGCCCUUUUAACUUAACCUUCGUUUUACAACGUGGUGCAAUUUCAAGGUCAUCUGGUAUGCAGUACUUUUGUUUGGGGUUUUUCCGAUCGUUCGUAAUUGCGCCUAACCUCUCGAGCUCCCGUUCUUCGUUUAGUUCUGCCACGUGGUCGUCCGUGCCUAUUUUUGGCCUAUACAAUUCUACCGAUUCGUCUCUAAACAUAAUUUUGCAAUGAUAGUUUGUUAGAAUAUCGACGCCGAAAAUAAUCUUUUCCCCGUUUCCUGGAAUUAUGGUGAACCUGCCACAUAUGUCGAAACCAUCAAUGUUGACCUCCAAGUAUGUGCACGUGUUCGAGACUACUGACCCACUUAUUCCCCGUAUAAGUAAUUUUGAAGGCAUUCUAGCACAUCCUAGUGCGUUGGCUAUUCCUUCGUCUAUGCAGCUAACAUUUGCCCCUGAAUCGAAAAUCAGUUUGCCUACAUGUGUCUCAUUGAUAUGCAUGAUUAAGCAGAAAUUAGUCAUACCUGUCCAACGGAAUUUUUCCAUUGUUGUACCCCCUAUUUCUAAAGUGGAUUUUUCUAGUGGUACCUUAUUUACUGUCUGUCUCUCGUUAACCCCCGGUUGUCCUUUUACCUUGAAAAUUAUGUGAUUGGUGUUACCAGUAACCUCGGAAAAUACACGUGGUACGCUCUCUACACUGUUUAAAACUUCAACCACAGGAUUAGAGGUAAAAUUGUACUUACCACGUGGCCUCCUUUUCGGGCAAUCCCAGUGUUUGUGCCCCGUCUGGUAACAGGUGAAACAUCUUGGCGUCACGUCCGGCAGCAUAAAUCUUCUUGCUUUCUCCGUGGGCGUUUCGGUCCUUGGAUUUUGUCCUCGUUUUUGUUCCCAUUCUUCCGCCGUCCUCGUAGUUGUUUCCCAACUCGUCGUUGUACCUGCUUCCUUCCGUCCCUUGUUCCAUUUGUCCGCCUCGUCGAGGAAUUUCGCCGCCUGUAGGAAGUCGGCCUCUUCUGGGUUCCGCGUUUUAAAUGAAAAAAAUUUACUUCAACUUUCUGAAACUCUUCUGACAUUUUAGUGACUUGCUGGUCAAGGAAAGCACUUAAUCCACUUUUCAGUUUGAUUCACCUUAAAAUAUCUGUAGCUAAUCUACUUAUAUAAUUGCCUUAUUCUGUCUGUGUGAAGUUCACUGUGUGAAGUUCACGGAUAGAUUUUGGUCAUCAACGCGCGCAUCAUCAUUAUGAUCAUUAUCAUUAUCUAAUGAUAAUUAUUAUUAUUAUUAUUAUUAUUAUUAUACUUAUAUCUACUUAUAUAAUUGCCUUAUUCUGUCUGUGUGAAGUUCACUGUGUUAAGUUCACGGAUAUAUUUUGGUCAGAAUGGAUAAAAUAAAAAAAAGUGUCAAGGGAUGGGAAUCGAACCCACGACCUUCCGCUUACCGGGCAGAUGCCAUGACCACUAGGCUACCCUGGACAUAUUUUUCCGUUCAUAAAGUUAAGAAUAAAAGAAUAAAUAUUUUAAUAUAAGAAUAAAAUAGGAUAUUCAUUAAAUAGGUAUUUAAUUUUUAGUAUCUCAUUUAUAUUUAUUCGAAUUUUAUAUUUGAACGAUAGGCUCAUUAUUUCUUUUGAUUAAACGUAUCAUUAAAUGGAAGAUAGGUAAAAGAUACCUAUCUUCCAUUUAAUGAUACGUUUAUUCAUAAGUUGUACAUCGGAAGAGUUUUAAGUUUUUUGAUGUUUAUAUAUCGUAUAUACCGUUUUGCACAAUUAUUUAAUCUUUUUUAUAUAAAGUACAAUACUUAAAUGAAAAUAUGUUUCUUAUACAAUCAAAUUAUAAUUGUAACGAAUAGUAUUUUAAUUAAAACAUUUUAAAAACACACAGUUUGGAACGG
rnacentral:piRNA from 1 species